rnacentral:rRNA from 1 species
UACAGAGGGGGCGAGCGUUGUUCGGAAUUACUGGGCGUAAAGGGCGCGUAGGCGGCCUUCUAAGUCGAACGUGAAAUCCCCGGGCUCAACCCGGGAACUGCGUCCGAUACUGGGAGGCUUGAAUCCGGGAGAGGGAUGUGGAAUUCCAGGUGUAGCGGUGAAAUGCGUAGAUAUCGAGAGGAACACCUGCGGCGAAGGCGGGUUGCUGGGCCAUAACUGACGCUGAGAAGCGAAAGCAUGGGGAGCGAACAGG